rnacentral:rRNA from 1 species
AUUGAACGCUGGCGGCAGGCCUAACACAUGCAAGUCGAACGAGUGGCGGACGGGUGAGUAAUGUCUGGGAAACUGCCUGAUGGAGGGGGAUAACUACUGGAAACGGUAGCUAAUACCGCAUACCAUCAGAUGUGCCCAGAUGGGAUUAGCUUGUUGGUGGGGUAACGGGUCACCAAGGCGACGAUCCCUAGCUGGUCUGAGAGGAUGACCAGCCACACUGGAACUAAGACACAGUACAGACUCCGACGUGAGGCAGCAGGGGGGAAUAUGGCACAAUGGGCGCAAGCCGGAUGCAGCCAUGCGGCGUGUAUGAAGAAGGCCUUCGAGUUUUGAAGUACUUUCAGCGGGGAGGCGUUACCCGCAGAAGAAGCACCGGCUAACUCCGUGCCAGCAGCCGCGGUAAUAC